AGAGUUUGAUCAUGGCUCAGAUUGAACGCUGGCGGCAUGCUUAAUACAUGCAAGUCGAACGGUAACAGAUUCUUCGGAAUGCUGACGAGUGGCGGACGGGUGAGUAAUACAUAGGAAUCUGCCCAUGUAGUGGGGGACAACUUGGGGAAACUCAAGCUAAUACCGCAUAAUUCCUACGGGAUAAAGAGGGCCACUGCUUGCAAGCUCUUGCUACUGGAUGAGCCUAUGUCGGAUUAGUUAGUUGGUAAGGUAAUGGCUUACCAAGACAGCGAUCCGUAGCUGGUUUGAGAGGAUGAUCAGCCACACUGGGACUGAGACACGGCCCAGACUCCUACGGGAGGCAGCAGUAGGGAGUAUUGGACAAUGGGCGCAAGCCUGAUCCAGCAAUGCCGCGUGUGUGAAGAAGGCCUGCGGGUUGUAUGGCACUUUCAAUUGGGAAGAAAGAUUAUGAGUUAAUACCUUAUAAUAUUGACGUACCAA
rnacentral:rRNA from 1 species